rnacentral:lncRNA from 1 species
CAAAGGCAGCAGUACCCAUCUCAUGGGCUUCUUAGGAUACGAUACACAAGGUCUAGUUUGCAUGAUCUACAGUUCCCGGCACAUGGUCGGUACUCCUUUCCCCACCAAGAUCCUUUCUAUGAUACGGACAUCUACAUAUUAUGGCUCUCACUUGCAAGCAACAGAAGCUACUCUGGCUAGUUCAAGCAGAAAAGGGAUGAAAAUCCUGGUAGAAUUUAUCACCCUCUGUCCCUGUCUCAGUAAGAGGAGUGUGACGAAGUGGGGUAGCUCCAGAAACAGCAAAGCCUCAGGCAGAAGUAAGCCAUUGGCUCCCUCUGAAAUCCACCUUUUGUCUAUUCUUUGUAUAUUCUGGUCCAACAACGACUGCCUUUGUCAUCUUCUCUACUACUUCUCGACAUUUUUGUGAAAGGUAAAACUUUAUUAUCUUAUUAGUCACUGCCACGAGGAGUUCACUUUUUCAGCGGAUCUCUGCUGCUGAAAGUGCUCCAUCGGCUGCUGCUCCAGCUUUGUCCCGGGUUUGUUUUCAUGACUGACUAGAGAGGAGUGACUCUGGAGAGUCAGAGGAUGGGGCUGUGCUGCAUCCUCGUUCGCUGAAAUCUGGCUGCGACCUCAUGGGACAAAUGUCAGUCAGCCUCACACAUUUCAAGACAGUGCUCUGUGGGGCCGCGGUUCCAGAAGGCACGUAAAGUUGCUUUUUUUUUAUUUACAUAGCAUAGAGAAGUUUUUAAUUGUUCAGAGCAAAUAGCCAAAAACAUCUGGUUCAAUAGAUUCUGCACUUGGACAUUUCCCCAAAACACAAUGUAUCUCCUUGAAAGAAGACAAAAACAUAAAGGGUAUCUGCAUCGUGUAGUCUGUGCAAACUGCCCUUUAUGAAUGACGUGGAGGAUGCUGUAUGGGAUGGUUGGGCCAUCCCCAUCCCUGAGCCGGGAGAGCUGGGGCCCAGUUUACUAGGGCUGAGUUCUGGGGAGGCCUCUGCUCAUGCAGUCUGCUUUUUCGCCUUGCGGAAGCUGUGGCCUCUGAUAGUGAACACAGCUGAUUCUGUGUUUAAUCACAGAGUUACUCAGAGAUAGAAUUAUGAACAUAAAUAAUCACUUAAAAGAAUUGUUGAAUCUGGGCUGUGUGUGAACUGAUCCCAGGGUUUAUUCCAGAAGCCAAGCUUUUAAAGAAAAUGCAGAUGAUUUCUCUUGAGAGGAUAGGUGUUGUAUCAUCUCUAGUUCUGGCUACCUGAGGUUUCACUAUAUUCAAGGGUUGGAAUGGGUGGGGGUGGAGAGAAUUUGGACUGGGUUGCUGUAGAAAUAAAAGCAUAGGCAAAAGCCA